rnacentral:snRNA from 1 species
AUCACUUCUUGGCCUUUUGGCUAAGAUGAAGUGCAGUAUCUGUUCUUAUCAGUUUAAUAGCUCAUAUGUCCUCUCUCCGAGGACAAUAUAUUAAAUGGAUUUUUAGAACACGGAGAUGGAACAGGAUUUGCUCCAUCCACUCCACACAUCGACCUGGUACUACAGUAACUCCAGGAACGGUGCACCACCU